rnacentral:lncRNA from 1 species
UGUUGUAUAUAUUCUCAUGGGUAGGCUGGGGCCCUGUCCCACGAAUCUUUACUACUCUUAGAGGCUUGCAGACUAGUGUGUGGUGUUUAUAGCUACGUUAUGGCCAUGCUGGCCUAUGUUGUUGGUUUGCUGAAGCUUGUGAGCUGUUUGAUGUAUUGUACUGAUAUUUACCUAUUUUUAGUUUUGGUAUAGAUAUCAUGGUGGCCUCGAC